rnacentral:rRNA from 1 species
CCUACGGGAGGCAGCAGUGAGGAAUUUUCCGCAAUGGGCGAAAGCCUGACGGAGCAAUACCGCGUGAGGGAUGAAGGAUUUUGGUCUGUAAACCUCUUUUCUCAAGAAAGAAGUUCUGACGGUACUUGAGGAAUAAGCAUCGGUUAACUCCGUGCCAGCAGCCGCGGUAAUACGGGGGAUGCAAGCGUUAUCCGGAAUGAUUGGGCGUAAAGCGCCUGUAGGUUGUUUAUUAAGUCCGUUGUUAAAGCCUAGGGCUCAACCCUAGAAAAGCAAUGGAAACUAGUAGACUAGAGUAUGGCAGGGGUAGAGGGAAUUUCUAGUGUAGCGGUGAAAUGCGUAGAUAUUAGAAAGAACACCGGUGGCGAAAGCGCUCUACUGGACCAUUACUGACACUCAGAGGCGAAAGCUAGGGUAGCAAAAGGGAUUAGAUACCCCUGUAGUCCUAGCCGUAAACGAUGGAUACUAGAUGUUGUGCAUUAUGUACAGUAUCGUAGCUAACGCGUUAAGUAUCCCGCCUGGGGAGUACGCUCGCAAGGGUGAAACUCAAAGGAAUUGACGGCUGAGACCNGCGACGACGACACGAGGGAGAGG